UUUGCUUGCUAAGGCUCAUGGUGGAUGCCUGGGCACGCAUUGCCGAUGAAAGACGCGUGGGGCCGCGAUAGGCCUCGGGGAGCCGCCGACUGGGCUUUGAUCCGAGGGUGUCUGAAUGGGGGAACCCGCCAGCUUGUGGCUGGCACCGCCGUUGAGGCGGGGGGUACGCAGGGAAGUGAAACAUCUCAGUACCUGCAGGAAAGGAUAUUCCGUGAGUAGUGGCGAGCGAAAGCGGAGCAGACCAAACCGGUCGCGUGUGAUAGGCUCCAGCCGUUGCGCGUCCGGUGUUGUGGGACGCUGCUGCGCCCUCCUGGAGGGGGGUGGGGCAGUGAUAAAGUCGUGUGUGAGCCGAGAGCGGUUGAAUACGCUGCCGGAGAGGGUGAUGGCCCCGUAGGCGAAGGCGCACGGCCUGUCUUGUGGCGUUCCCAAGUAGCGCGGGACUCGUGGAAUCCCGCGUGAAUCCGCCCCGACCGUGGGGUAAGUCUAAAUAUGAGUGCGUGACCGAUAGUGGACGAGUACCGUGAGGGAAAGGUGAAAAGUAGCCCGGGAGGGUAGUGAAAUAGUUCCUGAAACCAUGUGCUGUCAAACCGUCAGAGCCUUUGAGGGGUGAUGGCGUGCCUAUCGAAAAAUGAGUCUGCGAGUCAGUGGCAUGUAGCGAGGUUAAGCCGUGUGGCGGAGCCGUAGCGAAAGCGAGUGUGAAGAGCGCGAUUUUCUAGUUGCAUGUUCUGGACCCGAAGCGGGAUGAUCUAGCCUUGAGCAGGUUGAAGCGCGGGUGAGACCGCGUGGAGGACCGCACCCACCUAGGUUGAAAACUGGGGGGAUGACUUGUGGCUAGGGGUGAAAGGCCAAUCAAAUUCCGUGAUAGCUGGUUCUCUCCGAAAUGCAUUUAGGUGCAGCGUCAACGGCCGCCUGGUGGGGGUAGAGCUACUGGAUGCCAAAGGGCCCGUCUGGGGUACCGAUGGCAACCAAACUCCGAAUACCAUGCAGGUUUCGCGUUGGCAGUGAGUCAGCGGGGGAUAAGCUCCGUUGUCGAAAGGGAAACAGCCCAGAUCGUCGUCUAAGGUCCCUAAGCGUGUGCUAAGUGGGAAAGGAUGUGGAGUCGCAUGGACAGCCAGGAGGUUGGCUCAGAAGCAGCUAUCCUUGAAAGAGUGCGUAACAGCUCACUGGUCUAGUGGUUCCGCGCCGACAAUGUAGCGGGGCUCAAGCACACCACCGAAGACGCGGCAACCGGUAUUCUUGCUGGUUGGGUAGGAGAGCGUUCCCCAGGGGGUGAAGCGGCGGUGGAAACCGUCGUGGACCGUGGGGAAGUGAGAAUGCAGACAUGAGUAACGAGACGCGGGGUACGAUCCCGCGCGCUGGAUGACCGAGGGUUCCGGGGCCACGUUCGACGUCCCCGGGUGAGUCGGGUCCUAAGGCGAGGCCGACAGGCGUAGUCGAAUGGAUGAACGGGUUGAUAUUCCCGUACCGGUUCGCAACCGUCCGAUCCGAGGCGUCAGGCCUCAUGGUCGGCUGGCGGCCGCCCGUCCCUUCGGGGGCGGCUGGUCCGCUUGCUUUUCCGUGAUGGCGGGCGUAGUAGGGUAGCAGAGGAGUGACGCAUGGGGGAUGCCGCGCGGCCUGGUGGUUAUGGUCGUGCAAGCAGGUAGGCCGCGGGAUAGGCAAAUCCGUCCCGCUUGAGGCUGAGAUGUGACGCCGCCGGCCCUUCCGGGGUCGGCGUGCGGCUAGUCCUCGUGCCGAGAAAAGCUUCGCUGCGAGGGUGCGGACCGCCCGUACCGCAAACCGACACUGGUGGUCAAGUAGAGUAUACUAAAGCGUUCGAGUGAAUCCUGGUCAAGGAACUCGGCAAAUUGCUCCCGUGCCUUCGGCAUAAGGGAGACCCCGGGGGGUGAAGCCACACGCUGGUGGAGCCUUCUGGGGUGGCACAGGCCAGGGGGUAGCGACUGUUUACCAAAAACACAGGUGCAUGCGAAGACGUAAGUCGCUGUAUAUGCACUGACGCCUGCCCGGUGCCGGAAGGUUAAGAGGAUCCGUCAACGCUUCGGCGCGAAGCGGUGAAUUCAAGCCCCGGUAAACGGCGGUGGUAACUAUAACCAUCCUAAGGUAGCGAAAUUCCUUGUCGGGUAAGUUCCGACCUGCACGAAUGGCGUAACGACUUCCCCACUGUCUCGACCAGGACCUCGGUGAAAUUGCAGUACGAGUAAAGAUGCUCGUUAAGCGCAGAAGGACGAAAAGACCCCGGGACCUUUACUAUACCUUGGUAUUGUCGUUCGCUGCUGGUUGUGUAGAAUAGGCGGGAGACCGUGAAGCAUGGACGCUAGUUCGUGCGGAGUCGCCAAGUGAAAUACCGUUCUGCUGGCAGUGGGCGUCUAACCUGGAACAGUCAUCCUGUUCAGGGACAGUGCCUGGCGGGUAGUUUAACUGGGGCGGUUGCCUCCUAAAGAGUAACGGAGGCGCUCAAAGGUUCCCUCAACCCGGUUGGCAAUCGGGUGGUGAGUGUAAUCGCACAAGGGAGCUUGACUGCGAGAGUGACGGCUCGAGCAGGGACGAAAGUCGGAGAUAGUGAUCCGGUGCCGGUGUACGGACGCGGCAUCGCUCAACGGAUAAAAGGUACCCCGGGGAUAACAGGCUGAUCAUUCCCAAGAGUCCAUAUCGACGGGAUGGUUUGGCACCUCGAUGUCGGCUCGUCGCAUCCUGGGGCUGGAGCAGGUCCCAAGGGUUCGGCCGUUCGCCGAUUAAAGCGGCACGCGAGCUGGGUUCAGAACGUCGUGAGACAGUUUGGUCUCUAUCCUCUGCGCUCGUUGGAAUCUUGAGGAGCCCUGCCCAUAGUACGAGAGGACCUGGGUGGACGAACCUCUGGUAUGCCAGUUGUCACGCCAGUGGCACGGCUGGUUAGCUACGUUCGGAGGGGAUAACCGCUGAAAGCAUCUAAGCGGGAAGCCCUCUCCCAGAUAAGGAUUCCUUCCCACCUCGAGUGGGUGAAGCCUCCCCGCCAGAACACGGGGUCGAUAGGCCGGACGUGGAAGCAUGGCGACAUGCGCAGCCGACCGGUACUAACAGGCGACGGCAAACACACG
rnacentral:rRNA from 1 species